rnacentral:misc_RNA from 1 species
GCUCCGUAGGUGAACCUGCGGAGGGAUCAUUACAGAGUUCAUGCCCUACCGGGUAGAUCUCCCACCCUAUGUUAUUAUUACUUUGUUGCUUUGGCGGGCCGUUAGGCUCCGGCCCGACUACCGGCCCCGGCUGGUAAGCGCCCGCCAGAGGACCCAAAACCCUGAAUAUUAGUGUCGUCUGAGUACUAUAUAAUAGUUAAAACUUUCAACAACGGAUCUCUUAGUUCUG